rnacentral:rRNA from 1 species
AUGGUCGAGUGUCGCAGCUUCAUCAAGUUCUUGCACGCAUUCGAGCACCACCGCAGGGCAGCGGACUCGUCGUGAGCCACCCGAUCCAAGCGCAUGCCCUUCACCUCCUCUAGGAGCCACCUCACCGCCCUCUGCAACCACUCGCCAAUGGCCGCGGUCGACGCACCCAUUCUUCUGGCCGUCCUUGCCGCGCUGGGGUUCCUCAUGAGAUCUCGCACGUCAAGCAACUGCUACUCGAUGCACACGCUGCUUCACCCGGCUGCGCAUGCCUCUCGGCCACCGCCUUGCGGGGGUCGUCGCAGCACGGCCAUGGCGAGGUGUCCAUGUGUAGCUGGAGCAGCACGAUCAUGGCCAUGGCGUGACUGGUCGCGGGCAGGAGCUCGGCCGGGAUGA